ACUUACACAUGCAAGCAUCCACACCCCGGUGAGAAUGCCCUCUGAAUCUCCAAGACCAAGAGGAGCGGGUAUCAAGCUCACGUCCUGUAGCUCACGACACCUUGCUUAACCACACCCCCACGGGAGACAGCAGUGACAAGAAUUAAGCUAUAAAUGAAAGUUUGACUAAGUUAUAUUGAUUAGGGUUGGUAAAUCUCGUGCCAGCCACCGCGGUCAUACGAUUAACCCAAGCUAACAGGAAUACGGCGUAAAACGUGUUUAAGCACUAUACCAAAUAGAGUUAAAUUCUAAUUAAACUGUAAAAAGCCAUAAUUAUAAUAAAAAUAAACGACGAAAGUAACUCUACAAUAGCUGAUACACUAUAGCUAAGACCCAAACUGGGAUUAGAUACCCCACUAUGCUCAGCCCUAAACACAAAUAAUUUUAAAAACAAAAUUAUUCGCCAGAGUACUACCGGCAACAGCCUAAAACUCAAAGGACUUGGCGGUGCUUUAUACCCUUCUAGAGGAGCCUGUUCUAUAAUCGAUAAACCCCGAUAAACCUCACCAAUUCUUGCUAAUACAGUCUAUAUACCGCCAUCUUCAGCAAACCCUAAAAAGGAACAAAAGUAAGCGCAAUCAUAACAUAUAAAAACGUUAGGUCAAGGUGUAACCUAUGAAAUGGGAAGAAAUGGGCUACAUUUUCUACUUCAAGAAAACCCACAUACGAAAGUUAUUAUGAAACUAAUAACCAAAGGAGGAUUUAGUAGUAAACUAAGAAUAGAGUGC
rnacentral:rRNA from 1 species